rnacentral:rRNA from 1 species
CGCGUAGGGUGCGAGCGUUGUCCGGAAUUAUUGGGCGUAAAGAGCUCGUAGGCGGUCCGUCACGUCGGAUGUGAAAUUCCAGGGCUCAACCCUGGACCUGCAUUCGAUACGGGCGGACUAGAGUUCGGUAGGGGAGACUGGAAUUCCUGGUGUAGCGGUGAAAUGCGCAGAUAUCAGGAGGAACACCGGUGGCGAAGGCGGGUCUCUGGGCCGAUACUGACGCUGAGGAGCGAAAGCGUGGGGAGCGAACAGG